AUUUCAGAUACAUUGUGAAAUUGGAAGCUUAAUUGAGACUUUUCUUUACGUGAACGAACACUCGGAGAACUUUUUCGGUUUUAAAGGCGUCAGUCAGAGACAUCUGAAGAAUUUACACUCUUCCAAGGUUCCGCAUUUUCCAACUCGUAAAACCGAAUUAUCAAAAUGAACUUUCCUGUUUCAUCAAUUGUUAGAAUGAUCUCCAUGAUUGUUAUAGUGAUUGCAAUGAGUGCAUCAUUCAUUCCUGGUGUCCUGGGCGGCUUUAGGCCUGAAGGUGACAGUCCGGAUAAACAGCAAGAAUUCCAAGGUAAAUGCUUUAUAGCUCUUCACUUGGUGAAACCAGUAUAUCAAGUCUAAA